rnacentral:rRNA from 1 species
AUUGAACGCUGGCGGCAGGCCUAACACAUGCAAGUCGAACGAGUGGCGGACGGGUGAGUAAUGUCUGGGAAACUGCCUGAUGGAGGGGGAUAACUACUGGAAACGGUAGCUAAUACCGCAUACCAUCGGAUGUGCCCAGAUGGGAUUAGCUAGUAGGUGGGGUAACGGCUCACCUAGGCGACGAUCCCUAGCUGGUCUGAGAGGCUGACCAGUCACACUGGGACUGAGACACGGUGCAGACUCCUACGGGAGGCAGCAGUGGGAGAGAUUGCACAAUGGGCGCAAGCCUGAUGCAGCCAUGCCGCGUGUAUGAAGAAGGCCUUCGGGUUGUAAAGUACUUUCAGAGGGGAGGCGUGACCCGCAGAAGGAGCACCGGCUAACUCCGUGCCAGCAGCCGCGGUAAUUC